UACGUAGGGGGCAAGCGUUGUCCGGAAUCAUUGGGCGUAAAGAGCGUGUAGGCGGCCCGAUAAGUCCGCUGUGAAAGUCCAGGGCUCAACCCUGGAAUGCCGGUGGAUACUGUCGGGCUCGAAUCCGGAAGAGGUGAGUGGAAUUCCUGGUGUAGCGGUGAAAUGCGCAGAUAUCAGGAGGAACACCAAUGGCGGAAGGCGGCGAUCUGGGUCGAUACUGACGCUGAGGUGCGAAAGCGUGGGGAGCAAACAGG
rnacentral:rRNA from 1 species